rnacentral:rRNA from 1 species
UACGGAGGGUGCAAGCGUUAUCCGGAUUCACUGGGUUUAAAGGGUGCGUAGGCGGGCAGGUAAGUCCGUGGUGAAAUCUCUGAGCUUAACUCAGAAACCGCCAUGGAUACUAUUUGUCUUGAAUAUUGUGGAGGUAAGCGGAAUAUGUCAUGUAGCGGUGAAAUGCUUAGAUAUGACAUAGAACACCAAUUGCGAAGGCAGCUUACUACACAGUUAUUGACGCUGAGGCACGAAAGCGUGGGGAUCAAACAGG